rnacentral:rRNA from 1 species
UACGGAGGAUGCGAGCGUUAUCCGGAUUUAUUGGGUUUAAAGGGUGCGCAGGCGGGAGAUUAAGUCAGCGGUGAAAUCUUGAGGCUCAACCUCAAACUUGCCGUUGAAACUGAUUUUCUUGAGUGUAAACGAAGUAGGCGGAAUUCGUUGUGUAGCGGUGAAAUGCAUAGAUAUAACGAGGAACCCCAAUUGCGUAGGCAGCUUACUAGAAUACAACUGACGCUCAUGCACGAAAGUGUGGGUAUCAAAC